rnacentral:rRNA from 1 species
CUCCCGAGAGACCGAUAGCGAACCAGUACCGUGAGGGAAAGGUGAAAAGCACUUCGAACAGAAGAGUGAAAUAGUUCCUGAAACCGUGCGCCUACAAGCGGUCGGAGCUCGUUAAUGAGUGACGGCGUGCCUUUUGCAUAAUGAACCUACGAGUUGCCUUUGCCGGCAAGGUUAAGUGUGACGACACACGUAUCCGAAGCGAAAGCGAGUCUGAACAGGGCGUAUAGUCGGCAGUGGCAGACGCGAAACCAAGUGAUCUACCCUUGGCCAGGUUGAAGGCUGGGUAACACCAGCUGGAGGACCGCACCAAUAAGCGUUGAAAAGCUUCUGGAUGAGCUGAGGGUAGGGGUGAAAGGCUAAUCAAACUUGGAGAUAGCUCGUACUCCCCGAAAUGCAUUUAGGUGCAGCCUUGCGGGUUACUGAUGUGAGGUAGAGCGACUGAUAAGAUGCGAGGGCUUCACCGCCUAUCAAGUCUUGACAAACUCCGAAUGCGCAUCAGUUCUACCGCAGGAGUGAGGGCAUGGGUGCUAAGGUCCGUGCCCGAGAGGAGAAGAAUCCGGACCACCUGCUAAGGUCCCGAAAUGACAGCUAAGUUAAACUAACGAAGUCUGACUGCUAAGACAGCUAGGAUGUUGGCUUGGAAGCAGCCAUUCAUUUAAAGAGUGCGUAACAGCUCACUAGUCGAGGAGUCGGGCGUGGAUAAUAAUCGGGUAUCAAGUUGUCUACCGAAGCAGUGGGAUCAUUAAUAUGAUCGGUAGGGGAGCAUUCCAGUCAGCGUCGAAGGCGUACCGUGAGGUAUUCUGGAGCGUCUGGAAAAGCAAAUGUAGGUAUAAGUAACGAUAAAGGGGGCGGGAAACCCCCUCGCCGAAAGACUAAGGUUUCCUGAUCAACGCUAAUCGGAUCAGGGUCAGUCGGGUCCUAAGGCUCAGCCGAACGGCGAUGCCGAUGGCAGAAACGGUUAAUAUUCCGUUACUACCUUCAGGAGUGACGUGGAGACGCAGUAGUGACAGUGCCGCCAUCUGACGGAAUAGAUGGUUGAAGGGUGUAGGAGUCGAUCAUGGCAGGCAAAUCCACCAUGAGAUCCGAACUUGAGAGUAUGCCGCGUCCUUCGGGACAAGGCAAUAGUGCGCGUAAGCAUGCUGCCGAGAAAAUCCGCUAAACUUAAUCCUGGAGGUACCCGUACCGCAAACGGACACACGUAGUCGGGAUGAAUAUUCUAAGGCGCUUGAGUGAUUCACGGUUAAGGAACUAGGCAAACUGACCCUGUAACUUCGGGAUAAAGGGUCCCUACCCUUUUAUGGGAGGGCGCAGAGAAUCGGUCCAGGCAACUGUUUAACAAAAACACAGGGCUGUGCCAAAUCGAAAGAUCCAGUAUACAGCCUGACACCUGCCCGGUGCUGGAAGGUUAAGAGGAGAUGUCAUCGAUAAGAGAAGCGUUGAAUUGAAGCCCCAGUAAACGGCGGCCGUAACUAUAACGGUCCUAAGGUAGCGAAAUUCCUUGUCGGGUAAGUUCCGACCCGCACGAAAGGCGUAAUGAUUUGGGCACUGUCUCAACAAUGCACCCGGUGAAAUUGAAAUACCAGUGAAGAUGCUGGUUACCUGCGCCAGGACGGAAAGACCCCAUGGAGCUUUACUGCAGUUUAAUACUGGGAAUCGGUAAUGCAUGUACAGGAUAGGUGGGAGACAUGGAAGCAUGGUCGUCAGGUCAUGUGGAGUCACCGGUGGGAUACCACUCUUGUAUUGCUGAUUUCCUAACCUGCGGCCGUGAAUCCGGUCGGGGGACAUUGUCAGGUGGGCAGUUUGACUGGGGCGGUCGCCUCCUAAAGAGUAACGGAGGCGUUCAAAGGUUCGCUCAGCUUGAACGGAAAUCAAGCAAAAGAGUGCAAACGCAGAAGCGAGCCUAACUGCGAGACUGACGGGUCGAGCAGUAACGAAAGUUGGAGUUAGUGAUCCGGUGGUAUGUGAGUGGAAAUGCCAUCGCUCAACGGAUAAAAGCUACCCUGGGGAUAACAGGCUGAUCUCCCCCAAGCGUCCACAGCGACGGGGAGGUUUGG